CAGUGCCGCGGGAAUACAGAGGGUGCGAGCGUUAAUCGGAUUUACUGGGCGUAAAGCGUGCGUAGGCGGCUAAUUGAGUCGGAUGUGAAAUCCCCGAGCUUAACUUGGGAAUUGCAUUCGAUACUGGUUAGCUAGAGUGUGGGAGAGGAUGGUAGAAUUCCAGGUGUAGCGGUGAAAUGCGUAGAGAUCUGGAGGAAUACCGAUGGCGAAGGCAGCCAUCUGGCCUAACACUGACGCUGAGGUACGAAAGCAUGGGGAGCAAACAGGAUUAGAUACCCCAGUAGUCCCUGUCUCUUAUACA
rnacentral:rRNA from 1 species